CAGUCGCCACGGUAAUACGUAGGGCGCAAGCGUUAUCCGGAAUUAUUGGGCGUAAAGAGCUCGUAGGCGGUUUGUCGCGUCUGCCGUGAAAGUCCGGGGCUCAACCCCGGAUCUGCGGUGGGUACGGGCAGACUAGAGUGAUGUAGGGGAGACUGGAAUUCCUGGUGUAGCGGUGAAAUGCGCAGAUAUCAGGAGGAACACCGAUGGCGAAGGCAGCUCUCUGGGCAUUAACUGACGCUGAGGAGCGAAAGCAUGGGGAGCGAACAGGAUUAGAUACCCCUGUAGUCCCUGUCUCUUAUAC
rnacentral:rRNA from 1 species